UGUUUUCUCCUUGCGUCACAGUCCGUGCGUACUUCCGGGGUCCGCCAUUUUUUUUACCCCAGAACCAGCCGAGCGUGCCCAGGACAGAGCAUGAAAACGUGACGAAGUUUGUUGCUUUUUAUCAUAAAGUACAGUCAUGCAAGUAUGUGGCAUAGCUGGAUGUACCAAUAGACCGAGUUCACAGUAAGGUACUAGUUUCCAUAAUAGGCCCCAUCAAAGCUGAAGGCGAGGAGACGCAAAAGUUGUUUGAGGAAAGGCGAAGGUUAUGGAAGGUGGCAAUAAACAAGAAAGAUAUCACCUCGGAGGAGAAAUGGGAUGGAACCAUUGUCGGCGGUAUCAAAACCUAUCUGCAUGACAGUACCAGCCCACCCUGGCUUCCAACAUGCCAUUCAGCAUGUACUCCAGUAUCAGCCACCAGUAGAUAUAGGUGUGCCAGUCAGCGUGGGGAAUAAGGCAACGUGCAGAUGCAAUAACUUCACUUACACGUAUGAACCUUUAAAAAAAACAAGGCCAGGAUGUGAACACCCUCAACUUCAAAAUAAGAGUAUCAGUGAUGGCGAAUAUUCCUUUUACGCUGGUGAGGGCAUUGAACAAGAUAUUUAGCACACUACCUGUGAAGUACAGGGACCCACAAAUAUCACUAAAGACACACAAACUUUAAUAACAAUUGAAAAUGACAAUUAAGUUAGACUUGCAGAGUCUGACAGCAGAGUGCCCUUUACAUGUCGUGAUCUAUACAGGUUUGAAGUAUAUGAAAAAGAUCCAAACGAAGUUUAAUUUUAUACUGGAUUGCCCAAUUUUUGUUAUGCCUUAUAAGAUUAAGAAUGAUUUAUACUUUUCAAGACAUGUCAGUUCAGUUAAAUGUGUCACUUGCCACAAUUCAGGGAUGUUUUCAUUCCACACUCAGUAUUUUUUUUUUAUAAAAGGCUGAGUAUUUUGGUGCACUGGCCAGAAAGGGAGCAUGUUAGAGAACCGAUGCCAUGUGUUACUAAAAGAAUUUGAUGACAAAGUUGUUUUACUAGAUUGCUUCGAACUCAAAAUAGAAAAACCUAGUGAGUCUCUGAACAAGGUGUACACAUAAUCUAAUUACACUCAUCACCAUACAAUUAAGUGUCUGAUAGAGAUAGCCCCUUAAGGUUGAAUCACUUUUAUUUCUGAAGGGUGGGGUGGUAGAACUUCAGAUAAACAAGUCACAGAAGAGUGGACUUCUGGACAAUCUUUUACCUGGUGAUAUUGUCAUGGCAGAUAGUUUUUCCAUUGAAGAAUCUGUCAAUUUUUACCAUGCUAAAUUGGCAAUUCCCAGUUUUACAUGAGGAAGUCACGGCUGCAUCCAAUGGAAGUAGAAAAGACAAGAAAAAUUGCAAAUGCAUGCAUUAAUGUAGAACAGGUUAUUGGUUUGUUUUGUAGAAAAUUAAAAAAUUUUGACAGCAUUAUACCAUGGGAGGUUUUGAAGAUGAAAAGUGGAGAGAGUGUACCUUCAAUUGACAAAGAUGUGAAAGUGUGCUGUUGUCUCACAAAUUUAUGUCCUUCUGUUGUUCCAUUUGGUUAAAGGGAAGGAACAUGUGAAGAAAAGAUUGAAGUGUGUAUGUAUUUGCUAUACAUGAAGUAUUUUAAUUAUAAGUAAAACAAAGAAAUAAAUCCCAUGAAAAUAAAUUCAAAGUAAUUUAUUUGCCUUAUUUUUUGCUAUAAAAAAAUUCCACUUGA